UAUAGUUUUACUGUUGUAUAAACUCAUAAAGUUAAUCUAGGCCUACUGUUGUAUAAACUCAUGCAUAAGGUUGAUCUAGUUUUACUGUUGUAUAAACUCACGAAUAAGGUUGUGGAUUUGCUCUAAUCUAUAGAAAGCCAGGCUUGCUAAGACGGUGUUUGGAUGUUGGAACCUGGAUCCAUCCCAGCCUUAUUGUCACAUCCUGACCAUAGUUUGCUCUGUAUGUUUCUAUGUUUUGGUUGGUCAGGGUGUGACCUGAGUGGGCAUUCUAUUUUACAUGUCUAGUUUGUCUAGUUCUAUGUUUGGCCUGAUAUGGUUCUCAAUCAGAGGCAGGUGUUAGUCAUUGUCUCUGAUUGGGAACCAUAUUUAGGUAGCCUGUUUGGUGUUGGGUUUUGUGGGUGAUUGUUCCUGUCUCUGUGUUUGCACCAGAUAGGGCUGUUUUAGGUUUUCACGGUUCUUGUUUUUGUUAGUCUGUUCAUGUAUAGUUUUCUUCAUUAAAUAACCAUGAAUAGAAACCACGCUGUGUUUUGGUCUGACUCUCCUUCAAGUCAAGAAAACCAUUACUUAUGUUUGGAUGUUGGAAGGCAGUGUAUAGGUUUAGAUGGAUCCAGGUUAUGUUUGGAUGUUGGAAGGCAGGGUAUAGGUUUAGAUGGAUCCAGGUUAUGUUUGGAUGUUGGAAGGCAGGGUAUAGGUUUAGAUGGAUCCAGGUUAUGUUUGGAUGUUGGAAGGCAGGGUAUAGGUUUAGAUGGAUCCAGGUUAUGUUUGGAUGUUGGAAGGCAGGGUAUAGGUUUAGAUGGAUCCAGGUUAUGUUUGGAUGUUGGAAGGCAGGGUAUAGGUUUAGAUGGAUCCAGGUUAUGUUUGGAUGUUGGAAGGCAGUGUAUAGGUUUAGAUGGAUCCAGGUUAUGUUUGGAUGUUGGAAGGCAGGGUAUAGGUUUAGAUGGAUCCAGGUUAUGUUUGGAUGUUGGAAGGCAGGGUAUAGGUUUAGAUGGAUCCAGGUUAUGUUUGGAUGUUGGAAGGCAGGGUAUAGGUUUAGAUGGAUCCAGGUUAUGUUUGGAUGUUGGAAGGCAGUGUAUAGGUUUAGAUGGAUCCAGGUUAUGUUUGGAUGUUGGAAGGCAGGGUAUAGGUUUAGAUGGAUCCAGGUUAUGUUUGGAUGUUGGAAGGCAGGGUAUAGGUUUAGAUGGAUCCAGGUUAUGUUUGGAUGUUGGAAGGCAGGGUAUAGGUUUAGAUGGAUCCAGGUUAUGUUUGGAUGUUGGAAGGCAGGGUAUAGGUUUAGAUGGA